AUACGGAAGGUCCGGGCGUUAUCCGGAUUUAUUGGGUUUAAAGGGAGCGCAGGCGGAGAUGCAAGCGUGACGUCAAAUUUCGGGGCUCAACCCCGUCUCGCGUCGCGAACUGCGUCCCUUGGUUGCGGGAAGGGGAGGCGGAACUCGUGGUGCAGCGGUGAAAUGCAUAGAUAUCACGAAGAACUCCGAUCGCGAAGGCAGCCUUCCGGCCCGUCAACGACGCUCAUGCUCGAAGGUGCGGGUAUCAAACAGGAUUAGAUACCCUGGUAGUCCGCACAGUAAACGAUGGACACCCGCGGUUUGGCCUGUAUGGCUGAGCCGCCAAGCGAAAGCGUUAAGUGUCCCACCUGGGGAGUACGCCGGCAACGGUGAAACUCAAAUGAAUUGACGGGG
rnacentral:rRNA from 1 species